AUGGGCCGGCUCGGUGGGGAGGCUGGACGCGGGCUGGGCUGGUUGGACCGGUCGAUGCCAAGAAAUAGAUCGAGGCCGACGCGUCUCGUGAAGCAGGGGAUCGAGCGGGCUGGAGGUCAACGCAUGGGCGAGGGGACUUGUCGCUGGUCGUUGUUUUCCCCGAACACAGAAGCAGGGGAGACCGGUGAUGAGGGCUUGGGGAGGUCGAUCCGGACCGGAUCCGGUCGCCUCCGAGGCUUGGGCCCGCCGGAGUUUCGAGCUGGAGGCGGCGGACGGCAACCAUGGCCAUGGCAACUCCUUGUUGCAGCGGUACAGAGAGAGCAAUCGAGAGAGACGUGA
rnacentral:rRNA from 1 species